rnacentral:rRNA from 1 species
CUAAAAAUACCCCUAAGAGUGAAGAUUAUCCUCUGGUUUCUUAACAAAGGAGUCAUCCUAACUAGAGAUAAUCUGGCACGACGAAACUGGCAUGGUUCCAAGACAAGUGUCUUUUGCCAACAUGACGAGUCUAUCAAACACUUAUUUUUUGAGUGCAAGUUCACUCGGGAAGUUUGGGCUAAGGUCCAAGUAGCUUCGAAUUUAUACCCACCACGUAGUGCAUGGAAUAUGUUCGGCAACUGGUUGCGGGGUAUUGAUAAACAAUUUUCUACACAUAUUCUUGUGGGAGCGGCGGCCUUAUGCUAG